GACAGCCAGGAUGUUGGCUUAGAAGCAGCCAUCAUUUAAAGAAAGCGUAAUAGCUCACUGGUCGAGUCGGCCUGCGCGGAAGAUGUAACGGGGCUAAACCAUGCACCGAAGCUGCGGCAGCGACACUGUGUGUUGUUGGGUAGGGGAGCGUUCUGUAAGCCUGCGAAGGUGUGCUGUGAGGCAUGCUGGAGGUAUCAGAAGUGCGAAUGCUGACAUAAGUAACGAUAAAGCGGGUGAAAAGCCCGCUCGCCGGAA
rnacentral:rRNA from 2 species